rnacentral:antisense_RNA from 1 species
GACUUGCGGAGUUUUCCAGCCUUCAUCUUUUCUCCUUUGCUGGAUGCUUCCUGCCCUCGAACAUCAGACUCCCAAGUUCUUCAGCUUUUGGAGUCUUGGGCUUACUGGUGGUUAACAAGGGGUUAUCAGGCCUUCAGCCACAGACUGAAGGCUGCACUGUCAGCUUGUCUACUUUUGAGGUUUUGGGACUCAGACUGGUUCCUUGCUCCUCAGCUUGCAGACAGCCUAUUGUGGGACUUCAUCUUGUGAUCACGUGAUGCCGUGAACCCUCCCCAAGGGAGGAACCAAAAGCCUGCAUGAAGCAAAAACUGGAAACAAAUAAAGGAGAGUAUUGUGACUUUGCACUAAGUUACUCAUUUAUUCACAUAAUUAAUGAGUUUCUAUUAGUGUUAGGCACCGUUCUAGAUGAUGGUAUAAUUCGUUAACAAAAACCUCAAAACUCUCGCCCCCGUGGAGCUUACAUUUCCAGGGAGGGAGAGAGAUGAUACAACAAGAAGAAAAUACAGAGCUAAUGUCAUUCUAUAUUGUAUAAUUAUGUGAAAUCAAGCCUGAGUAUUUG